rnacentral:rRNA from 1 species
AACGAACGCUGGCGGCAUGCCUAACACAUGCAAGUCGAACGAGACCUUCGGGUCUAGUGGCGCACGGGUGCGUAACGCGUGGGAACCUGCCCUUAGGUUCGGAAUAACUCCCCGAAAGGGGUGCUAAUACCAGAUAAUGUCUUCGGACCAAAGAUUUAUCGCCUUUGGAUGGGCCCGCGUUGGAUUAGCUAGUUGGUAGGGUAAAAGCCUACCAAGGCGACGAUCCAUAGCUGGUCUGAGAGGAUGAUCAGCCACACUGGGACUGAGACACGGCCCAGACUCCUACGGGAGGCAGCAGUGGGGAAUAUUGGACAAUGGGCGAAAGCCUGAUCCUAAAAUGCCGCGUGAGUGAUGAGGGCCUUAGGGUUGUAAAGCUCUUUUACCCGGGAUGAUAAUGACAGUACCGGGAGAAUAAGCUCCGGCUAACUCCGUG